rnacentral:rRNA from 1 species
ACUACAGCGAAAGCAUUUGCCAAGCGCGUCUUCWUUAAUCAAGAACGAAAGUCAGAGGUUCGAAGGCGAUCAGAUACCGCCCUAGUUCUGACCGUAAACGAUGCCAACUAGCGAUCCGCCGGCGGCUUCUCGGCCCUGGUGGGGAGCUUCCCGGAAACGAAAGUCUUCCGGUUCCGGGGGAAGUAUGGUUGCAAAGCUGAAACUUAAAGGAAUUGACGGAAGGGCACCACCAGGAGUGGAGCCUGCGGCUUAAUUUGACUCAACACGGGAAAACUCACCCGGCCCGGACACCGUGAGGAUUGACAGAUUGAUAGCUUUUUCAUGAUUCGGUGGUUGGUGGUGCAUGGCCGUUCUUAGUUCGUGGAUCGAUUUGUCUGGUUUAUUCCGAUAACGAGCGAGACUCCAGCCUACUAACUAGUGCGGGCAUUGCCUCUGUGCUUGUCACUUCUUAGAGGGAUUGGCUGCGUCUARCGGCACGAAACGGAGCAAUAACAGGUCUGUGAUGCCCUUAGAUGUCCGGGGCUGCACGCGCGCUACACUGGCAAAGGCAGCGUGCUUGUCCGCCUCCGAAAGGAGCCGGUAAACCCUUGAAAAUUUGCCGUGAUUGGGAUCGGAAAUUGCAAUUAUUUUCCGUGAACGAGGAAUUCCUAGUWAAGUGCGAGUCAUCAGCUCGCGUUGAUUACGUCCCUG